UGUAGGCCACAGUCUGCCUUUUGAGGACCCCAUAUUAGUCUGAAUAAAUUAUUCAAGACUUAGAACAGUGUCUCAUAAAAGAGGAACACAAUACGACAGUGGCACAUCUUAAAUAUGUAGACCUUGACCUGGUUUUAACUAGAGAUAACCUUGAGGACAUGUAAUCUUUUUGUUCUUCGUGUCCUAAACCUGGAGAUCUGACUUAUCCAUUUGUACUAAGGUAUUUAACCAUGUAACAGGUGGGAAUGUGGUCAAGGGGUCGAAAGGGAGAGAUGAUAGUGUUGGCUUCCACCAAUAAGGACACUAUACUAGCGGGUUCCUGGGCCAAGUAUGGAGACUCAUCGGCUGAUGUCAACCUCAUAGGACACUUCCCAAAGAAGGAAAUUGAGAAGGCUCUCCUACUUCAUGCUAAGGAUAAGCUGAAUCUCCAAAUUCUGCAGGAUAUUGUACCUUCCACAGCCAAGGAAGAUGAGGCAAAGUCACUGACAGAAGAUGAGGAGUCAAUUGUAAUGACAAACUUACAAACAACCGAGUACUGUGGUCCUUACUCAAUGUUUGGCAGACUGAUUUACCUCUGGAGGAACAGGUGCUCCCCAAAGGAGGUGGGAGAAAAAGUGAAGUCAUUUUUCCAGCAAUACAGCUUCCAGAGACCCAGGAGGACAGUGGUGACGACGUCCUACUACAUCUCGGGGAACUGGCCCACUGUAUAGUCGCCUACCUUUGUUGUACCCCUUGACCUGGUCCUAGCAAUUCGCAGCCAUCGACAAGGCGGUGCAGGAAUAUGAACAGAUGGGGACAAAGAACCAAAAUUAAUCAACACCUACCGUACAUGGAAUAAUCUCCCAGCAGAAGCUCGUAACACUUUAGGAAUCACACCGUGUUCUAUCAAUCUGAGAUAUGGCAGAUUAAGAUGGUUGUGCCUAACAAAGAAAAGACCGAUAAUACAGACAGUGAGUGUGAUGAACCAGUAGGCCAAGUGAGGAAGACACUGCAGCCAGAGAAAAAUUCAUAAGUUCGUGGAUCAGUGAUUAGCGAUUACUAUUCCCAGGAAGAAGUUAGGAGUGAGUUUCAAUACAAAGACAAUUAAAUCAAGGGAAACCAACCAGAUGAAGCAUGUAACUCUUCAGAAGCUAUUAAGAAGAGCUACUACACACUCUUCUCAGACAAUACUCCAAAUCUAACUACAUCACCUGCAAAUAAUGUUAAGCCAAAGCUGCGUGAAAUUCUCUAUGCACACCAUCACCAACUCCUAUAAUGGGUGAAUUGAUAGAUCCAUCUCAGUUACCUCAACCUCAGCUGUGUCCAAUACCAAUCCUACCACUUCAUCUUUGUAGUUACCAUCCUCUACCUUGGGUAACUAAUCACAGUUUUUUUUACUCUUUUUUCAUUAAAAAAAUCCCUAAAAGCUUUAAGUAAGUCUCAACAUUUAACAGAAUUUUUGACAUUUUCUUAUUUUUUCAGGCAGUUCUUCGUCAAAAAAUUCUCAAAAGCUUCAUUCAAAAUAUAUCUUGACAAUUAAUAUAAUUUAAUUGUUUACUUACAUUUAUAUGCUUCAUUCAUUCAUUUGUACAACUGUUUUGGUUGUGUAACUGUAAACAUUAGCUGUGUGUGUGAGUGUUGUCUUGGUGUGGACUGGGGGUGUGUGUGGUGUGGUGGUACGUUAAGGCCGUCAUAUUGGUAACAUGCACAUACCCCAUACUUGUACCUAUAAUAAAACUUAUUACCAAAAUA
rnacentral:misc_RNA from 1 species